UACGAAGGGGGCUAGCGUUGUUCGGAAUUACUGGGCGUAAAGCGCACGUAGGCGGAUAUUUAAGUCAGGGGUGAAAUCCCGGGGCUCAACCUCGGAACUGCCUUUGAUACUGCAAGUCUUGAGUCCGAUAGAGGUGAGUGGAAUUCCUAGUGUAGAGGUGAAAUUCGUAGAUAUUAGGAAGAACACCAGUGGCGAAGGCGGCUCACUGGAUCGGUACUGACGCUGAGGUGCGAAAGCGUGGGGAGCAAACAGGG
rnacentral:rRNA from 1 species